GAAGAGUGGAUUGUUUUAAUUUUUUGUUGAGGUUUCUUUAAAAUAAGUAGAUUGUGGGUUUUGUUAUUAGGUAAGAAAAAAUUUUUUUAAUUAUAGAUGAUUAGUACCGUGGGGGGAUUCCCUUUUUCUUUAAACAGAAGGUUUAUUUUACUGUACCUUGUGUAUCAGGGCUUAUUAAUUAAUCAUUAGGGAUUAUAGUUUUCUCGAACUUAGAAGAGCUAAUUGCUUAUAAAUUUUAUUGUAGAAUAAAUAUUUAAAAUUAGCAGUUUGCAGCGAAAAACUAUUCGUUUCUAAAUAUAUCUAGUUUUUAAAGAAAUAGAUUUAAUCUAGUUGACUUGGCGUAAUUUUUUAAUUUUUUAGUAUUUUAUACAGGUCAGUAAAUACUUUAGGGGAUGAGCUUUAAAGUAAAACCUUAUAACUAAAUGGGUGUAACCUAAUUUAAGUAGGAUUAGAAAUUUCCAUUUUUGAGAGGGUGUUAUAAUUUUUCUUGGGUUGUUUUUAUUUAUAUUAAUGUUUAAGUGCUUUAUUUAAAUUAGGACUUUAAUUUUUUUUAUUCGGUAAUAAUGAUAAAAUUAGUAUAUUAAUAUUGUUUAGGACAAUAUUGUAUUUAGGUUAAUAAAAGGAAUUCGGCAAAUAUACUUUUCACCUGUUUACUAAAAACAUGGCCUUUUGAUGAUAAUUUGAGGUCUGGUCUGCCCACUGAUGUUUUUUGAAUGGCCGCGGUAAUUUGACCGUGCAAAGGUAGCAUAAUCAUUAGUUUUUUAAUUGGAAGCUGGAAUGAACGGCUGGAUGAAAAAGUGACUGUCUCUUAUUAAUUUUUAUUAGAACUUUAUCUUUAAGUAAGAAGGCUUAAAUGACGUUGGAAGACGAGAAGACCCUAUAGAGUUUUAUAUUUUCUUUUGCCAAGAUUGAUUAGGAUUUUUGGUUCGGGCUGAUGGGGAUAUUUGGUUGGGGUGAUCGGAAAAUUUAAUAAACUUUUUUUUGUGGUCUUCACUACUUUGUGAAUUUAUGAUCCAGUAUUACUGAUUACAAGAUAAAAUUACCUUAGGGAUAACAGCGUAAUUUUUUCUGAGAGUUCAAAUCGAAGAAUAAGUUUGCGACCUCGAUGUUGGAUUAAAAUUAAUUUCUGGUGCAGAAGCUGGGAAAUUAGGUCUGUUCGACCUUUAAAAUUUUACAUGAUCUGAGUUUAGACCGGCGUGAGCCAGGUUGGUUUCUAUCUUUAAUUAACUAAAAUUUCUUAGUACGAAAGGACCAGGGAUUUAAUAAAUUAUUUUUGUUUUGAAUUUUAUU
rnacentral:rRNA from 1 species